AUACGGAGGGUGCAAGCGUUAUUCGGAAUCACUGGGCGUAAAGGGCGCGCAGGCGGUUUGGUAAGUCAGAUGUGAAAGCCCACGGCUCAACCGUGGAAGUGCAUUUGAAACUGUCAGACUUGAGUACUAGAGGGGAAAGUGGAAUUCCCGGUGUAGAGGUGAAAUUCGUAGAUAUCGGGAGGAAUACCGGUGGCGAAGGCGACUUUCUGGCUAGAUACUGACGCUGAGGCGCGAAAGCGUGGGGAGCAAACAGGAUUAGAAACCCUAGUAGUCC
rnacentral:rRNA from 1 species